GAUGAAGAACGUAGCGAAAUGCGAUAAGUAAUGUGAAUUGCAGAAUUCAGUGAAUCAUCGAAUCUUUGAACGCACCUUGCGCCCUUUGGCUAUUCCGAAGGGCAUGCCUGUUUGAGUAUCAUGAACACCUCAACCCUCAUGGUUUGCCAUGAUGGGCUUGGACUUUGGGGGUCUUGCUGGAUUGUAGUCAGCUCCCCUUAAAUGAAUCAGCUUGCCAGUGUUUGGUGGCAUCACAGGUGUGAUAAAUAUCUACGCUUGUGGUUUUACAUCAGAUAACCUUCAGUGAUGGAGGUUCACUGGAGCUCAUAAAGGUGUCUCUCCUCUGUGAGGACAGCUCUUUGAAUGUUUGAUCUCAAAUUAGGCAGGACUACCCGCUGAACUUAAGCAUAUCAAUAAGCGGAGGA
rnacentral:misc_RNA from 1 species